UAUGUACUCCCUCCGUUCGGAAUUACUUGUCUCGAAAAUGGAUGUAUCUAGAUGUAUUUUAGUUCUAGAUACAUCCAUUUCCGAGACAAGUAAUUCCGAACGGAGGGAGUAGUCA
rnacentral:pre_miRNA from 1 species